rnacentral:misc_RNA from 1 species
AACGCACGAGACCUGCGGACCUGCGGAAGGAUCAUUGCUGGAACGCGCCCCAGGCGCACCCAGAAACCCUUUGUGAACUUAUACCUUACUGUUGCCUCGGCGCAUGCCGGCCCCCAGGGGCCCCUCGGAGACGAGGAGCAGGCACGCCGGCGGCCAACCUAACUCUUGUUUUUACACUGAAACUCUGAGAAAAAAAACAAAAUGAAUCAAAACUUUCAACAACGGAUCUCUAGAUCGGAA